AGUCGUAACAAGGUCUCCGUAGGUGAACCUGCGGAGGGAUCAUUACCGAGCGAGGGCGCCCGCCGCCCGACCUCCAACCCUUUUGUCGACCGCACCUCUGUUGCCUCGGGGGCGACCCGGACGUCCGUCGGGCGUCGGGGGCCCCCGGUGGACCGCUCCAACUCUGCAUCUGUGCGUCGGAGUGUGACACGAGAAAUCGAAUCAAAACUUUCAACAACGGAUCUCUUGGUUCUGGCAUCGAUGAAGAACGCAGCGAAAUGCGAUAAGUAAUGUGAAUUGCAGAAUUCAGUGAAUCAUCGAAUCUUUGAACGCACAUUGCGCCCUUUGGUAUUCCGAGGGGCAUGCCCGUUCGAGCGUCAUUACACCAAUCGAGCUCGGCUCGGUGUUGGGUCCCGGGGGCCGCCCGGACCUCAAAAGCGUCGGCUGGAAACCCUCAAACGCAGCGUCGUGGCACUAUCAACUCGCUGGCGGGAGGGGGCGUCCGUGCCGUGAAUCUCCAUCUCAGGUUGACCUCGGAUCGGGUAGGGAUACCCGCUGAACUUAAGCAUAUCAAUAAGCGGAGGAAAAGAAACCAAC
rnacentral:sRNA from 1 species